rnacentral:rRNA from 1 species
AGUGAACGCUGGCGGUAGGCCUAACACAUGCGAGUCGAACGGCAGCACAGUAAGAGCUUGCUCUUACGGGUGGCGAGUGGCGGACGGGUGAGGAAUACAUCGGAGUCUACUUUUUCGUGGGGGAUAACGUAGGGAAACUUACGCUAAUACCGCAUACGACCUACGGGUGAAAGCAGGGGAUCUUCGGACCUUGCGCGAUUGAAUGAGCCGAUGUCGGAUUAGCUAGUUGGCGGGGUAAAGGCCCACCAAGGCGACGAUCCGUAGCUGGUCUGAGAGGAUGAUCAGCCACACUGGAACUGAGACACGGUCCAGACUCCUACGGGAGGCAGCAGUGGGGAAUAUUGGACAAUGGGCGCAAGCCUGAUCCAGCCAUACCGCGUGGGUGAAGAAGGCCUUCGGGUUGUAAAGCCCUUUUGUUGGGAAAGAAAAGCAGCAGGUUAAUACCCCGCUGUUCUGACGGUACCCAAAGAAUAAGCACCGGCUAACUUCGUG